rnacentral:lncRNA from 1 species
AUGAAGCGCUUGGAGGAGGCAUGUCAGUUCCCGUGCAUUCCUGCUGAAAGCAGAGCUGGGACUGUGAGACUACGCCAACCUUUCCCUUGUGUAAUGUCAAUGUCGGCUAUCACUUUGGCAGAAUCACCCAGCUCAGUGAAGACAGAAAACCCCUCCUUUCCUCCUGUUUUUUCAUCUGCUGGUGGCAUUCCAAGUGACCUUCCCUCAUAAAUAUUGAUGCGCCAUUGUGACUGUAUGCAGCAAAUGAAUCAAACUGCAACAAUUCUGCUACAAAACUUAUGUCUGAUACUUGUGCAGCUUAAGCAGAGAGGAUAGGAAAAAG